rnacentral:tRNA from 1 species
GAGGGUAUAGCUCAGUGGUAGAGUGUGUGCCUAGCAAGCACAAGGUCCUCGGUUCCAUUUCCAAUACCUCUA